GCUUUCGUUGUGUAACGGUAGCACUUUCGGCGCGUAUUCAAGAGGUCCAGGUUCGAAUCCCGGCGAGAGCA
rnacentral:tRNA from 1 species